GUAAGUAUUGUUGGGUAGGGGAGCGUUCUGUAAGCCGUCGAAGGUGAACUGUGAGGUUUGCUGGAGGUAUCAGAAGUGCGAAUGCUGACAUAAGUAACGAUAAAGCGGGUGAAAAGCCCGCUCGCCGGAAGACCAAGGGUUCCUGUCCAACGUUAAUCGGGGCAGGGUGAGUCGACCCCUAAGGCGAGGCCGAAAGGCGUAGUCGAUGGGAAACAGGUUAAUAUUCCUGUACUCGGUGUUACUGCGAAGGGGGGACGGAGAAGGCUAUGUUAGCCGGGCGACGGUUGUCCCGGUUUAAGCGUGUAGGCUUGAGUUCCAGGCAAAUCCGGAACUCUUUAAGGCUGAGGCGUGAUGACGAGGCACUACGGUGCUGAAGUAACAAAUGCCCUGCUUCCAGGAAAAGCCUCUAAGCAUCAGGUAACAUUGAAUCGUACCCCAAACCGACACAGGUGGUCAGGUAGAGAAUACCAAGGCGCUUGAGAGAACUCGGGUGAAGGAACUAGGCAAAAUGGUGCCGUAACUUCGGGAGAAGGCACGCUGUCGGUAGGUGAAGGGACUUGCUCCUGGAGCUGAAGGCAGUCGAAGAUACCAGCUGGCUGCAACUGUUUAUUAAAAACACAGCACUGUGCAAACACGAAAGUGGACGUAUACGGUGUGACGCCUGCCCGGUGCCGGAAGGUUAAUUGAUGGGGUUAUCCGCAAGGAGAAGCUCUUGAUCGAAGCCCCGGUAAACGGCGGCCGUAACUAUAACGGUCCUAAGGUAGCGAAAUUCCUUGUCGGGUAAGUUCCGACCUGCACGAAUGGCGUAAUGAUGGCCAGGCUGUCUCCACCCGAGACUCAGUGAAAUUGAACUCGCUGUGAAGAUGCAGUGUACCCGCGGCAAGACGGAAAGACCCCGUGAACCUUUACUACAGCUUGACACUGAACAUUGAGCCUUGAUGUGUAGGAUAGGUGGGAGGCUUUGAAGCGUGGACGCCAGUCUGCGUGGAGCCAACCUUGAAAUACCACCCUUUAACGUUUGAUGUUCUAACCUGGCGCCGUGAUCCGGCGUGGGGACAGUGUCUGGUGGGUAGUUUGACUGGGGCGGUCUCCUCCUAAAGAGUAACGGAGGAGCACGAAGGUUAGCUAAUCACGGUCGGACAUCGUGAGGUUAGUGCAAUGGCAUAAGCUAGCUUGACUGCGAGAGUGACGGCUCGAGCAGGUGCGAAAGCAGGUCAUAGUGAUCCGGUGGUUCUGAAUGGAAGGGCCAUCGCUCAACGGAUAAAAGGUACUCCGGGGAUAACAGGCUGAUACCGCCCAAGAGUUCAUAUCGACGGCGGUGUUUGGCACCUCGAUGUCGGCUCAUCACAUCCUGGGGCUGAAGUAGGUCCCAAGGGUACGGCUGUUCGCCGUUUAAAGUGGUACGCGAGCUGGGUUUAGAACGUCGUGAGACAGUUCGGUCCCUAUCUGCCGUGGGCGCUGGAGAAUUGAGAGGGGUUGCUCCUAGUACGAGAGGACCGGAGUGAACGCACCACUGGUGUUCGGGUUGUCAUGCCAAUGGCAUUGCCCGGUAGCUAAGUGCGGAAAAGAUAAGCGCUGAAAGCAUCUAAGCGCGAAACUUGCCUCGAGAUGAAUUCUCCCUGGGUCCUUGAGACCCCUGAAGGGACGUUGAAGACUACGACGUUGAUAGGCCGGGUGUGUAAGCGCAGCGAUGCGUUGAGCUAACCGGUACUAAUGACCCGUGAGGCUUAACCUUACAACGCCAGAAGCGUUCUGGUGGCGUUCGAGAGACGCAAAAGA
rnacentral:rRNA from 1 species